rnacentral:ncRNA from 1 species
UAAAAGCUUGGUCCUGGCUUUACUGUCGCCUUUAGCCGAACUUAUACAUGCAAGUCUCCGCACCCCUGUGAGGAUGCCCUCAGCUCCCUGUUGGGAGCGAGGAGCUGGUAUCAGGCACGCUUAUUAAGCACUAUGCCCAAAACGCCUUGCUAAGCCACACCCCCAAGGGUAUUCAGCAGUGAUAGAUUUUAAGCAAUAAGUGAAAACUUGACUUAGUCAAAGCUAACUUAGGGCCGGUCAACCUCGUGCCAGCCACCGCGGUUAUACGAAGGGCCCAAGCUGACAGACACCGGCGUAAAGCGUGGUUACGGAUCAACCCAACUAAAGUCAAACAUCCCCCGUACUGUUAUACGCGCCCGGAGAUAGGAUGCCCCACUACGAAAGUGACUUUAAUACCCCUCCCGAAUCCACCACAGCUAAGAAACAAACUGGGAUUAGAUACCCCACUAUGCCUAGCCGUAAACUUUGAUAGUAUUAUACACCCACUAUCCGCCCGGGAACUACGAGCAUUAGCUUCAAACCCAAAGGACUUGGCGGUGCUUCAAACCCCCCUAGAGGAGCCUGUUCUAGAACCGAUAACCCCCGUUCAACCUCACCACCCCUAGCCUUAUUCCGCCUAUAUACCGCCGUCGUCAGCUUACCCUGUGAAGGCCCCAUAGUAAGCAAAAUGGGCACAACCCAAAACGUCAGGUCGAGGUGUAGCGCAUGAGGUGGGAAGAAAUGGGCUACAUUCUCUUAUUUAGAGAACACGAAGGCCGUGAUGAAACGCACACCAGAAGGCGGAUUUAGCAGUAAGAAGGAAAAACGAGAGUCCUCCUGAAGCCGGCUAUGAAGCGCGCACACACCGCCCGUCACUCUCCCCAAAAUUUUACUCUUCAAGUUAAUAAAAAAUUAUUUAAAUGAAGGGGAGGCAAGUCGUAACAUGGUAAGUGUACCGGAAGGUGCACUUGGAUAAAC